AGCGCACACGGUGGAUGCCUUGGCGGUCAGAGGCGAUGAAGGACGUGGCAGCCUGCGAAAAGUAUCGGGGAGCUGGCAACAAGCUUUGAUCCGGUAAUGUCCGAAUGGGGAAACCCACCCGCUUGCGGGUAUCCUGCAGUGAAUACAUAGCUGCUGGAAGCGAACCUGGUGAACUGAAAUAUCUAAGUAACCAGAGGAAAAGAAAUCAACCGAGAUUCCGUAAGUAGCGACGAGCGAACGCGGACUAGCCCUUAAGCUGGAUUGGUUCUAGGAAAACGCUCUGGAAAGAGCGGCCAUAGAAGGUGAUAGCCCUGUAUCUGAAAGGGCCAUUCCAGUGAAGACGAGUAGGGCGGGGCACGUGAAACCCUGUCUGAACAUGGGGGGACCAUCCUCCAAGGCUAAAUACUACUGACCGACCGAUAGUGAACCAGUACCGUGAGGGAAAGGCGAAAAGAACCCCGGAGAGGGGAGUGAAAUAGAACCUGAAACCGUGUGCGUACAAGCAGUAGGAGCUCCGCAAGGAGUGACUGCGUACCUUUUGUAUAAUGGGUCAGCGACUUACUGUUCGUGGCAAGCUUAACCGUAUAGGGGAGGCGAAGGGAAACCGAGUCUGAUAAGGGCGCAUAGUCGCGGGCAGUAGACCCGAAACCGGGUGAUCUAGUCAUGCCCAGGGUGAAGGUGCGGUAACACGCACUGGAGGCCCGAACCCACUCCCGUUGCAAAGGUAGGGGAUGAGGUGUGAUUAGGAGUGAAAAGCUAAUCGAACCCGGAGAUAGCUGGUUCUCCUCGAAAGCUAUUUAGGUAGCGCCUCAUAUGUAUCCUCUCGGGGGUAGAGCACUGUUAUGGCUAGGGGGUCAUCGCGACUUACCAAACCAUUGCAAACUCCGAAUACCGAGACGGACUGUAUGGGAGACACACGGCGGGUGCUAACGUCCGUCGUGAAAAGGGAAACAACCCAGACCCACAGCUAAGGUCCCAAAUUUUGUGCUAAGUGGAAAACCAUGUGGAAAGGCACAGACAGCCAGGAGGUUGGCUUAGAAGCAGCCACCCUUUAAAGAAAGCGUAAUAGCUCACUGGUCGAGUCGGUCUGCGGGGAAGAUUUAACGGGGCUAAGCACAGAACCGAAGCUUGGGGUGCAUAACUUUGUUAUGCGCGGUAGAGGAGCGUUCCGUAAGCCGUUGAAGGUGGAUUGAGAAGUCUGCUGGAGGUAUCGGAAGUGCGAAUGCUGACAUGAGUAACGAUAAUGCGGGUGAAAAACCCGCACGCCGAAAGCCCAAGGUUUCCUUGCGCAACGUUAAUCGGCGCAGGGUGAGUCGGCCCCUAAGGCGAGGACGAAAGUCGUAGUCGAUGGGAAGCAGGUUAAUAUUCCUGCACCUCGCGUAAGUGCGAUGGAGGGACGGAGAAGGUUAGGUGUACCAGGCGUUGGUUGUCCUGGGGAAAGGCGGUAGGUUUGGAUCUUUGGCAAAUCCGGGAUCCUUUAAGACCGAGCACCGAGACGAGCCUUUAUGGCGAAGUCACUGAUACCACGCUUCCAGGAAAAGCUCCUAAGCUUCAGCUUACGCAGACCGUACCGUAAACCGACACAGGUGGGUAGGAUGAGAAUUCUCAGGCGCUUGAGAGAACUCGGGUGAAGGAACUAGGCAACAUGGCACCGUAACUUCGGGAGAAGGUGCACCCUUUUUGGUGGCUCGUGCGAGCUAUAGCUGAAGAGGGUCGCAGUAACCAGGCCGCUGCGACUGUUUAUCAAAAACACAGCACUCUGCAAACACGAAAGUGGACGUAUAGGGUGUGACGCCUGCCCGGUGCUGGAAGGUUAAUUGAUGGGGUCAGCCGCAAGGCGAAGCUCUUGAUCGAAGCCCCAGUAAACGGCGGCCGUAACUAUAACGGUCCUAAGGUAGCGAAAUUCCUUGUCGGGUAAGUUCCGACCUGCACGAAUGGCGUAACGACAGCGGCGCUGUCUCCACCCGAGACUCAGUGAAAUUGAAAUCGCUGUGAAGAUGCAGCGUUCCCGUGGCAAGACGGAAAGACCCCGUGAACCUUUACUAUAGCUUUACACUGAACGUUGAGUUCGUCUGUGUAGGAUAGGUGGGAGGCUACGAAACCAUGGCGCUAGCUGUGGUGGAGCCAUCCUUGAAAUACCACCCUGUCGUGCUUGACGUUCUAACCUGGGCCCAUUAUCUGGGUCGGGGACCGUGUAUGGUGGGUAGUUUGACUGGGGCGGUCUCCUCCUAAAGAGUAACGGAGGAGCUCGAAGGUACGCUCAGCGCGGUCGGACAUCGCGCACUGUGUGCAAAGGCAUAAGCGUGCUUGACUGCAAGAUCGACGGAUCAAGCAGGUAGGAAACUAGGACUUAGUGAUCCGGUGGUUCUGUAUGGAAGGGCCAUCGCUCAACGGAUAAAAGGUACUCCGGGGAUAACAGGCUGAUACCGCCCAAGAGUUCAUAUCGACGGCGGUGUUUGGCACCUCGAUGUCGGCUCAUCACAUCCUGGGGCUGUAGUCGGUCCCAAGGGUAUGGCUGUUCGCCAUUUAAAGUGGUACGCGAGCUGGGUUCAGAACGUCGUGAGACAGUUCGGUCCCUAUCUGCCAUGGGCGUUGGAGAUUUGAGAGGGGCUGCUCCUAGUACGAGAGGACCGGAGUGGACGAACCUCUGGUGUUCCGGUUGUCACGCCAGUGGCAUUGCCGGGUAGCUAUGUUCGGAAGCGAUAACCGCUGAAAGCAUCUAAGCGGGAAGCGCGCCUCAAGAUGAGAUCUCCCGGGGCACAAGCCCCCUGAAGGAACCAUGUAGACUACGUGGUUGA
rnacentral:rRNA from 1 species